AAAAAAACAUUUUCCUGUCCCCAACAACCUAUGACUUAUGAUACAUUUGCUGGGAUUCUCCAGUCAUUCAAUAUUUUACAAAAUUCUUCCAACAACAUUUUACAUACUUUAAACUACGGUCUGAAUGCCCGCGAUUUCGCGGGUGUGUUCUACUUUUUUUAAAAGAACAUACAACAAGACAUGCACAUGAACAAGUGGGGAAAACAUGCAACAAAAGCGCGAUUAAAUGACACCUUACAAGUUUUAUAUUAAAAAAAAAGCGGUGCACAGCCUCCAACUACAAGUCAAAAAAUUUGUUUUUAUUUCUGGGAUUCCUUUCACGGAAAUGUAAUAAAUACACAUUUCUGAAAAUGCCAAAGCUUGUACACCC
rnacentral:lncRNA from 1 species